GUAGACUGUGGGUCUGAAAUCUGGUUGACGCAGUCUGCGGCCACUGCUGAGCUUUGGGUAGGCCAGGCUGGGGAAUCGGCCCUGGAUCUCUGCUGUCGCAUCUCCCUACCCCAGACUCCUUCCAGCAUCAAGUCCACUAUCCUCGCCGUGGCCACGCCCCUCCGCAUCCUGGCUUCUCUGCGUCCUGGCUGUUCCUCCCUGGGUGGAGGGGAGAGGCAGCCAUCCACUUGCAGGUGGAGCGGGGUGGAGACUCUUCCUGAGCCCAGCUGCAGGACACUGAGGACCAGCGAGGUAGACUCUCAGACUCUGGUAGCGGCUGGGGAGGGAAGAACUGGUAACUGGAAACCAGGUUGGGAGGUUGUAGGACCUUAAGUGAUGGAGAGGCGAAGGGGCUGGGCCUCAGCUGUGUUGAGUUCCUCUGGGGAGGGGACCAUCCGUUUGAUUUCGGCCUACAUAUGCUCUCAGAUCUUUCCACCUUAGGGACUUGCUGUUACCCACGUCCAAUGUCUCUCAUCAUUUUCCCUAUCUCCCAUCCAUUAGAGGAUAGCUCCUGACCUCGACUGACAUUAGGUUAGUGUACGAACGCCUGGCUACUUUUUUCUUUACCUGUUUUUGAAAGGCACCAGCAACUGAUGCGUUAUUUCUCUUGCCCCCACCUUGACUAUAGCACCUCCCAGUUUAAAAAAAAUAUCUGUUCAGCCAGUCUUCCAGACGUUUAUAUCUGUGAACACCUUUGGCCCCCCCCAAAAAACUUACGUGGAGAGCAUUUGAAAUCAUUUAUUUUCCACACUCAAAGACUCUACUCUUAUCUCUGAACUGGAGUCUGGAUAUAUUUAUGGAACUGAUAAUGAAAAGUUCACGAAUCCAAGCUUUGGCUUCGGAGUCCUUGAUUUCAGUGUACUGUGAAUACAACACCCCUCUGUUCAUAAUUAUAGAGCCUUUACAACUUGCUAUUUAUCUUAUGUUGCUGCUUUGCAAGUGUUCUUGUCCCAGUUUUCCCCUCCCCAUUUCCACCAUCUUCAAGGUGUGCUUGGUAUUUGAAAGAAAGGCCUGGUCAUUGGGUAGAGCAUUGUAACUUCUGUGUUGCAGAUACUAAACUAAUUUCAUUUACUUUCUGAGUUGACUCCACCUUGGUAAGAAGGAUGCAUUCCACAUAAUGCUAUCAAUUGUUGCUACAGAACUUAAUACCAAGUAUAAAUAGUUUUAAUUUUAUUGUUAGGCAUUAUUUCUCUCCAUCGCUCUCUCUGGCUAUAAUGGGAGUCUAUAAACUGUGAAUUGGUUCUUGAUCUCACUUAAUACAUCCAUCUGCCCCUGGUUUUAUUCAUUUAUUUUUUCCAAAUAAGCAUUGAUCCUAGCGUAUGGGAGACAUUUCAGGGUAGAAAAGCCCACCCUACUGCUUGGAAUUCUCAGAGCUCUCAGGCUGUAUUUUGAGCAGCCUACAAGGACGACUAUGUUGUAGGAGUAGGAGUGAGCUAUUUGGAGAGUUUCCUUGUCUCAGCAUCUAUUUACUUCUUAUAUGCCUAUUAAGACUUAACCUGUUGUCUAGCUGUAAAAUUCCUAAUUUAUUUGUAUGUUGGUUUUUUUUUUUUCAGUCAUCUUGUAAUAACUCCUUUAGGGAACAAAGAACUUCAUUACAUGCUUUUAGCAAUAAAGAAAAACAAUAAUAACUUAAUAUCCACAGCUGUCUUUUGGUGAUUGAUUGAUUGAUUGAUUGAGAAUGUACUAGUUGUGUGCUAUGUGAUAGAUGAUGCCUCAGGAAGCAUAAAGAAAUGCCUGUUCACCUCAGGUAGACCACUGACAGCAGACCAAGAAACAAAAAACAAAACAAAAUAAAAAAAAUAGAUUCCAACUAAGUCUAGCUUAGCAAACCAGUAUGUUUAUUGAAGUUCUUUAUGGGAACAUGGGUAACUGAAAGCCCACUCUAGCAUGAAUAAGAACUCAAGAAAACUGCAUCCAUGAAGCUCUCUUCACAAACUCGCAGGCCCCCCAGGCUAUUUGGAGAGCCUCCUUUCCUGAGCAGUUACUGCGUUUGUAAUUUUGGGGCAGGUCCUUAUGAAUGUUAUAAGUUUGGGGGACUUCCUGAACCUUAUGAGGUUCCGUUUUCUUUCCAGGAAGGAAUUGGGUGUUGUGGAUAUCUAGCAAUUGAAGACCCUUUUGAUACCGGAUGUCUUCUAAUGUCACAAGUCCCCACACCUUUUCUAAACGUGUUGUGUGCAUGCCACUUUUCUGAGGUAGUUUGUGGUUCACAGUGUGAGAAAUUAACAGGGUAAAAGCUAGGAAGAACUGGUCCCUGCUCUGUUAAAACAGCAGGCUUUCCAUUAUGGGGGGAAGGGAGGAGCAGAAACACUUGACUAAAGCCAAAGCAAUAUACUGAGCCUGGCUUCCUGGAAAAUAAGAAUAUAUCAAGAAACCCAGUGUCUUAGCAGCUUUAGUAGAAAAUACUUGAAACAGAAAAAAAACAAAAAAACAAAAAAAACAGCCCCCAUCUUAAUGACAAUAGAGGGCAGCAGCUCAAACAUGGAAGACACCGAUGCUGUGCCAGGCCAGAGGAGGAAUGGAAGCUCCUGUCAGUCUGUCCACACAUGUGUUGUUUUCUGUGUUGGGAGUGAUGGGGAAGGCUUCUGUAAUCGCUGGCAUGAACCGUGUGGCUAUUACUGGUAUCAUAUUAGGACGAGUCUCUUGGAUCCUAGCACACAGGGAAGAGCUGGGGGUGAAGUGUCAUUUCUUCACUGAAUAGAAAUAGAGUCUCUGGGUGGGUAAGACUUACGCUUGUCUGUCCAUCCCCAGUAAACUGCGAGAGUCCUGCUUAGUCCAGAGCUAGGCAGAGACUGACAGAGCCUCUGUGAGCUGUGUGCUCGCAUCCGUCCGUAUUGACUAGCCUUUGUCUUCAUGGGUUCCCUUUACGAAGUCUGCCUUCUCCAUACUGGGUUGUAUCAUAUUAAGGCAAACCCACCCUGUUCAAGAGAUGAAUGUAAAUUGUCAGGGUAGAGAUGUCAGUCUGUGGCAGAAUGUUUGCCCGCAUGUUGGAGUCCCACACUACACUAUAAAACAAGAGCAGCCGCAGAAAGUGUCAACUUCCUGAAUGUGGGACCCAGACCCAGGAAUCCAAUCAAUCGAUCCCCUGAUAGUCGAUUCAUGUAACCAGGCUCAGUACCGCAGUAACCCAAAUAUUGUCAUUACAAUUUGAUGAUACACAAUGUAUGUGUCUAUCAUAUUUAAUAAUAAUAUGAGCAAGGCUUCGUUUAAAUUUUAACACAAAAUGUGUUAUAUUUGCAUCCACCUAACUUUUGAUGUCUAAAUUGCUAAAGACAACUUCAAAUUCUACCAGUAGGAUCCAGUAUCUAUUAGUAACCAGUAAAUUAAAACGAUAGUCCUGUGGGGGUGCCUUUUUUUUUUAUUAUUAAGCCUGGAGUUUUUACAGCUUCUUCGUUGGUAUGAUGGUGCUUAAGGCUUUUACUACACAUCAGAAAGUUUGUUUCACAGGUGUGUGUGUGUGUUUGUGCGUGCAUCCGUGUGUGUGUGUGCACCUGACCAGUGAGUACACUCUAAAGAUGAGAUAAUCUCUCUUUCCUAGGUCUUCAAGAGGCAUUAUUUUAUGUUGCUUUUUGUAUAUUGAGGAUUUGUUGUUGUUAAUAUUUUAUCAAAGGACUUAGUGGGUUGAUGCCAUAU
rnacentral:lncRNA from 1 species